rnacentral:misc_RNA from 1 species
GGAUCUUGAAGGGCUGGAAUCUUCCCAAAGGCAAAAGCCCAAAAUAUGCAUUCGCCACCGCAAACUAGCCAUUUGACAGCUAAAGAGUAGCAACCCAAGCAGCUCAACAGGAUCCAAAUUCACAAUUCUUCCAUUAUUGAUUUUCUUUUUUCACACCCUACAAAAGCAAAAUCAAUCAUUUCUUUCUUGUUCUUUUCUUUUCUUUCUUUAAUUUAAAACAAGAAAUAUAAGCAGAGCGAUUAAUCAACAGCUGAAUCUGCUUUUACGUUUAUCAGACAAAGGUAACCAGGUCUAACGUUCUCCUUUUCCUGCAAAGGUGAAAUCUUUAAAUUCUUGGAACAUUUUUGGAGGACUACAAGAGAAAACAGACUAAGCGUAUUUCUUGAGCAGACAGUGGCUAUGUUUGAAUUUUAGCACAAUUCUGAAAUUCUAAUUUUUAAUUUGGUUGCUGAUGUGGCCAUUGUAUUUUCUAUUGAGCAAGAUUUUUAAUGUGGAAGAAGCAGAAGCUAAACUAAAUGGUUCAGAUGGAGAUAAUGUAAAUGCAGGAGAAUGUCACCCAAUUGAGGCAUCAUCGAGUGGUAGAAAAUGCCAAGAUGAUGUCUUGUGCUGUUCGCAUUUUACUGAGGUUACGCACGUAAGCCAGCUGCACUCCUGGGAUUGUGGCCUUGCUUGUGUUCUAAUGGCUUUGAAUACUAUUGGCAUCAACAAUUGCAGCAUUCAAGCCUUGGCAGAAUUAUGCUGCACAACUAGCAUUUGGACUGUUGAUCUGGCAUAUUUACUGCAGAAGUUUUCUGUUACAUUUGCCUACUUUACAGUAACUAUUGGUGCAAAUCCAAAUUACUCUGCUGAGACAUUUUACAAGGAGCAACUGCCUACUGAUCUAGUGCGGGUGGACAGGCUCUUUCAAAAAGCACGGGAGGAAGGGAUUAAUAUACAGUGCAGGUCAAUCAAUGAAAAAGAAAUUUCUCUUUUGAUUUUGUCCGGGAAAUAUAUUGCAAUUGCUUUAGUUGACCAGUACAAAUUAAGUCGGUCUUGGAUGGAGGAUUUUAUCUUAUCAGGCUUGAAUGGUAGCAACUCAAACUAUACUGGUCAUUAUGUUGUGAUAUGUGGUUAUGAUGCUGGAGCAGAUGAGUUUGAGAUUCGAGAUCCUGCCAGUUCUAGGUAUUAUCUUUGCUUCCCUUCUUAUUGUUAAUGAACUCUGGUGUUCUUUAUCUCCCCAUAUACGUGAAACCUUUUUGGGGUAAAUAAAAUGGAAAUUUUACAUUAUUUCAUUUUAUCUGGAUCAUGAUGCCAAACUAAAAAAAAAAAAUAAACACUCAGGAAUUACUUGGCACUGGGAAUACUUCAAAACGGACUGUUACUUUGAUUGGGGUACAAAUAUCCUGUACAUUACAUUUAUUAAACUUACAUAGAUUCUCCCGCCAAUUUGAAGUGUCAAAGUGUAACCCCAUGUCCAGGUAUCCUUAUCCAACACUGGUGCUCUAGGAAUAAAUGAGUAAUAAAUAUCUAGUACUAUACUUGGUAACACAAUUUGUGGAUGAUCUUCAAACCAUACUUCAAAAGUUUAUGAUUCAUCUAAUUGUGACGGGGCCUCCAUCCAUGUAAAAUCUCAUCUCUUGUGCAUGCCAAGUGCACUGUGGUUGAGUUCCUGAAAUUGUUUUUGUUAAUUUAUUACUUGUCCAGAGUAGAAGGAAAACAACUAUAACAUGGGCUUCCUUGUCAAUAAAAAGUAAACCAUGCUAUUAGAAACCUAAAAAAAUGCUACAUUAAUCACAAUUAAUUUGUGCUACCCUUGACUAGUUAUUUUGUUUAACAUCAUUGACUCUGAUUGUUAUCAGUUCACUGGUCAACUUGGUUACUAUUGGCUAGGUCUAUUAACAGGUCAAUGUACAGAUUGAGAUUUAGAAUAGUUGCAAAAGUUUGCAACUUUAUUGCAUGCACUUGCUGGGAAUAUUUCCUAUUUGAAGAUCAAACUUCCCUUAAGUUCUUUGGUAGGCUUGCUAAUUGAUAUUUGCCAAUUAAGUUUUACCUUGUGGUGGAAGAAUGAACUUUGGGAAAAGUGCAGGAAAAGUCAGAGGAUCUCAUCAAAAUGCUUAGAAGAAGCACGCAAAUCCUUUGGUACCGAUGAAGAUCUUCUUCUGGUAAUUAGUACUAUUGCCUUAUAGUAUGAAUUGCAUCAAAUUAUACCAACAUUUUUCUUUAGAAAAAAAAAAGGGCUCUUUUUAAGAUAUGAAGGCUGUUACCUAACUAUGAUUCUGUCAAAGCGCUAAGCAUUCCUGCAUGAAGUGGAUAUACUCGAGCCAAAAUAUUAACACCUCAGGGUUUGCAGGAUCAAAAAAAUGUUAGUUUAAUUCUGUAAUAUGGUGCUGAAAAUUAAAGUUGAUAGACUAAAAUUCUGUAGUUAGUUCUUCUCCUUCUUUUUUAUUUGAUUAUUAUUUCCAUCAAUAUUUUGACAAUGUAAAUUUGGAGUAAUUCAGUUAUGUAAAGAGGAGGUAUUUGCUCCUUUUGUAGUCAUAAGCCCCAAUCUGACUGAUCUUAAGUUAAUUAUAGAGACAUGAGUGCAAGGAAUAAGACAAAGUAACUUCUUGCAUAGCAUACAUAUUCAUCAGCAGCUCUUUUAACCAUGACUGUUUGGUUUCAAUUUGUCUGAUGCAGAUAUCUCUGGAGAAGAGUGACAAGCAAAACAGCUCUUAAGUGCAACUAUCUGCAGAUGUCAAUGUUUCUCCUUGACAUCCUACUUCAAUCAAAGCACUGCUAGUUGGUUGAAUGAUUUUUUGCAUAUGUAACUAUAAUUGUGCAUAAUGUGUGUAAAGUUAUUAAUAGUCUGCUGCUGACAACAUGCAUUUGUUCAUAAAAUAGUUCUUCAAGCCAUGUUCUGAAGUGUACAAAAUGUACAUUAUCAUGUAUUGUGUAACAAUGUUAAAUUCUAUUUUUAUGUAUCAUAAAAGAGUUUCCAUCUGAAUGAAUUAUCACUUGCAG